ensembl:lncRNA
AUCCCACAAACACAUCGCAGGAGUUCUGUUCUUUGUGCAUCUGGCCACCAUGCACUGUCUCCUUCCGGGAGCUGUGCAGGAGCAGUGCAUCAUUUGCUCGUGAAAACGCAUAGAAUCUUUGCUGCUGCCUUGGCCCUCAUAUGUCUCUCAUGUAGCCCAUACGCCAGACUCAUGAUGAAGUCGCUCCUGGGCAUAGUGUUGUUUAUCCACUGCUUGAUAGCAUUCAAGUCAAGCAAGUUGUAGAACACAGCAACAGUACAGCCAUCUGAUCUAAAACACCCAGCAGCAGGUGUCUCCUUUCACAGAGUACAGCCAUCUGAUCUAAAACACCCAGCAGCAGGUGUCUCCUUUCACACAGUACAGCCAUCUGAUCUAAAACACCCAGCAGCAGGUGUCUCCUUUCACACAGUACAGCCAUCUGAUCUAAAACACCCAGCAGCAGGUGUCUCCUUUCACACAGUACAGCCAUCUGAUCUAAAAC